ACUAACCUGCAACAGCAGUGUACACAGAAUCAGACGUGUUUCCAGAUGCUGCCACCACUGCCAAAAGACCGCUGACUGGGAGACGCCCCCACUAUAUCAGGCUGCGAUGCGUCGAACUGCGCUUGCGCAGAUAGUGUCCGCAAAAUCACCAGCCCUGAAGCACAG
rnacentral:lncRNA from 1 species